rnacentral:rRNA from 1 species
GCCUACGGGGGGCAGCAGUAGGGAAUCUUCCACAAUGGGCGAAAGCCUGAUGGAGCAACGCCGCGUGGGUGAAGAAGGUCUUCGGAUCGUAAAACCCUGUUGUUAGAGAAGAAAGUGCGUGAGAGUAACUGUUCACGUUUCGACGGUAUCUAACCAGAAAGCCACGGCUAACUACAUGCCAGCAGCCGCGGUAAUACGUAGGUGGCAAGCGUUAUCCGGAUUUAUUGGGCGUAAAGGGAACGCAGGCGGUCUUUUAAGUCUGAUGUGAAAGCCUUCGGCUUAACCGGAGUAGUGCAUUGGAAACU